rnacentral:lncRNA from 1 species
AUGUCAGAUUGUCUGUCAUGUACAACUGGUAUGUUUUGACUUAAUGGUAAAAAAAAGUUAAAGAAUGGUGUGUUAUUGGGUGUUGAGAUUGUUGGAUUUGGUUCGGUUGUUAGAUAUCGAUUGGGUCCUUAAUGGCGUUUUUUGUUACUUUUUAGUGAUUUUGGUGGUUUGAUGCUAAUUCUAAUUAUUUAGUUCUAAGACGUAAAGCUUUUUGAAACAAGAAUCUAUGUGUGGCAUAGUAACUUUUCAUAUUUAAAUGAAGAGAGAGAACAGAGUAAAUAGGAUAGAGAGAAGGUUGUGGCUAACUUAGCAACGUCAAUACAGAGGGUUAAUACAAACGCUUAGGAGGAAUUGAAACAACUUCCAGGCUCUUCUCUCAGAAAAAGUGUUAUAUGCAAAUCAUGUUUGUACAAGGUAGCUCUUAAAUUUGAGGCAAAGGCUGCAGUUAUGGUCUUCCAUAGUCCAUAUGAAUGGCAAUUUUACAGUAUUUUUUGUUUUUUUAUCUCUCACGGUCAUGUUAAAUGUAGUUUUCAUUUGAAAUUAGAAGUAAGUCAGUAACAUUGAUGUUCCUUUUUGGUGAAACAACACACUAGGUGGCAGUCAUGUGGUGCCUAACGUACACUAAUAAGGAAAACAAGGAAAAUACUAUGUAAUGGUCGUGGACACGCUUGGACCUAGCUUAUGGGACGUAUGGAAUUCUUUUGGGCAAUUGUGAGUCCUUAAGGUAGAACCGUUAAAAUCUCUCUCUCUC